CUCAGGGCGGCUAACAACAAUAAAAUAAGACAACAUUUUGCACAACAGUAGCACAUCCACCUUGUCUGCCUCCCUAGUGAAGCCUUGUAGUUGGACGUAGUUCCUUAUUCGGCAGAACCACUGCAGCCAUUCUGCAGGAUGGCUCAUAUUGAAGUCCGGUGGUGGUCGACUAUGACUGGUGGCCAUCCUCAGACCUGGAGCAGUCGCUUGUGCGAUUGUGGGUAGUUGUGAAGAUGCGGCAGGUGCGGUCUCGUUUCCGGGACUAUUUGCUAAGUCCAGCAUGGCGGUGAGGUUGCGCUUACUGCGAGGCGGCAGGUGGCGGUGCUGUGGUGUGGUCUUGUGCCUCUGGCAGCCGGCAGGAGCUCAUGUUUCCCAUCCUCGUUGCCAAUGUUAAAUGUUCGGAAGAAGUCAGAAGCCCAAGGCAGUGUAAGUUCCUCAACUACGUUUAUUUAACAUUUGUCAGUGACAACAGCUCACUCAUAGGAAAACAAGAACCGAACUGACUGGACAAUACAAUAAUAUACCGAGCAAGAACUGACUGUUGACAGUUGACAGUUGACAGUUGACAGUUGAAAGUGCAUGCGCUUACUUGCCAUUAGAACGUUUGUCUACCAAUGCUUAUAUGAUUGGUUAGAACGCGCCUUGUAACAUAAAAUGUGUUAAACCCAGUAAAAAUGGUUGCAACAUGUUUUGUCUUGGGGAGUCUUAAUGUUCACCCACCCAGUAAUUUGAAAUCUGAAAUAGAAAGUUGCACAUAUUAAGCCAGUCAUAAAUUGCUUGCUUUGUCCCAGGAGCAUCGACUGCCCACUUUGCUGUUCUGGCUUUGCUGUUUCCAAUCUUCAUUUCUUGCAUCAAGGAAAUCGGUUACACAAGCCCUGUGUCCACGGGAGCAAACUACCAGGCCUCCAGCAUCUGCUUAGUCCUCAACAAUGCACAAUGCCUUUUGAUUCGAAAGCAGAACAGAGCUCAAGUCGGAGGAGAUAUUUUGGCAGUGAGCCCAAAGCCUUGAUGUGCCAGCUGCCUCCACACUCUGGGGAUGCACCUGUAUAACUUCUCAAAAAAGUACAAACUUUUAAUGGCUCCCAACUUGGGCUAAUUAACCAGCUGCCCUCCCAGGUAGGAGGGGGUGAUGUAGAAAGCUCUCCCUCGGCGUUUAUUUACAUGCUUAGGCUGAGAAAUGGUUGGAGACUCCUCUUUAAUCGAUCCCUAAGCAAGCUGCUACAAUUAAAGCUCAUUAACUACAGUUCUCCCCCAGGCCUGGUCCCCUUUGGAAAGAUGUGGUUAUUACUGAGAUAGCAAAGAAGAAAAGGCCUCUGGGGUCUGUUAGCCAGCGAAAUUAUGCCAUCCAGCCUGCCCCAAGGGAUGGUUGAGGGCAAGACACAGAAUAUGCCUGGACACGGAUACACUAUGAAAAGCAAAGAGAUCUGCAAAAGUAUUGUGGAAGAAGGAAUGGACAACAAAUUGGAGGAUAAACAAAAGGCUUCCAUUUGUGCUCCAGGAAGUUUUCCACUGGUAUUUGAUCUUCUUAUACUAUAGAUAGCAUAUUUUAUAUUGCUCUAUGAACUGGUGAGAAAGGCACUCGCAUGCAUUCUUGAAAUCCUUAAAAUGCUUUAUAUAAGCCAGUCUUCUUAUUACCCAAGCAUCAGAGGUGGGGCAGAUAGUGCUUUGUCAUAAAGCCACUGAGUGAAUUUGUGGCUAGCUUGAGAGGACCCAGGAACAUCCCAAUUCAUAACUCAGAAACUAUGAGACACCUGCUCACAACUGUCAUCAUGGCACUGAUGCUCUGUUCCCAAUUGGUGGUCUACGGACCCCAGGGGGUCUGCAGCGCCAAUCAUAAAUCCUACAAAACCUGCCUUAAAGGCUUGUUUUGUGUAGGAAUAGAGUAGGCCUGUGGCAUGGAUUUGAGAACUUAGGAAUUUACCAUCUCCAAAGACUGGCCCAGACUGACCAGGUAAUGCAAUCAGUGACCAUUAUCAGCUGUCUUGUCAGGCAGGACACUCUUGUUUGUUGUAAUUUCUGCUGUAGACUGCCUCUUUGUACUAUGCUUUGGGGUGGUCUUUGGCUAAGGGGCGGGGCAAUUUCUAAAGUCUUUAAAAGCUCUGGCACACCUCCUUGCAAGGGUAGAGGGGGACUCUGUUGCAACAGAAAAAUAAAGACCACCUAUGCUUUCACUAGGGACGCGGGUGGCACUAUGUGUUAAACCACAGAGCCUAGGACUUGCUGAUCAGAAGAUGGGCGGUUCGAAUCCCCGCAAUGGGGUGAGCUCCCGUUGCUCGGUCCCUGCUCCUGCCAACCUAGCAGUUCGAAAGCACGUCAAAGUGCAAGUAGAUAAAUAGGUACUGCUCCAGUGGGAAGGUAUACAGCGUUUCCGUGCACUGCUCUGGUUCGCCAGAAGCGGCUUAGUCAUGCUGACCACAUGACCCAGAAGCUGUAUGCCAGCUCCCUCGGCCAAUAAAGCGAGAUGAGCACCGCAACCCCAGAGUCGGCCAUGACUGAACCUAAUGGUCAGGGGUCCUUUACCUUUAUGCUUUCACUAGAUCCUGCCUCCACUCAAUUUUCUCUGACUGAAAGCACACUUGUGGGGGGACGGGGACAGGACACUGAAUUCCUUGAUGGAGAGUUGGGCUGUAAAAGCCAACCCCAAUUUUUUACUAUAACAGUGUGCAACCUCUGGAUAGCGAGUGGAUUAACUAACUUGCCAUUCUUCCAGAAGAAGAAUGCUGUGCAAUAUUAAAAUGUAGCACACUCCUACACCUACAAAAAUAUGUGGGGUUUUUUUGUGGCUUUGCAUUUCCUGGGGUCACCACCAUGACAAGAAGUUCAUUCAGCCCUGGUUGCAAUAGGUCUGGAAGAAUGGGCUGUGGCGAGACGGUGACCAACAAGCUAUGGCUCCCCCUGGUGGGGGAUGAAAGGAACUUUUACAAAGCCGUCUUGAUGGUGAUUCUAGACUGGAGCAGAGCUGGCAAAACCCUUCUAGGCUUGUGACGCCUUUUGCAAACCAGAUAAACUAUUACGGGCAUCACACAAACCCAGCUACCAAGCCUAAUCUCAGCAGGGGUAGGGGACCCUGGGGAAAACCUCUGCAGGCACAUAUACAGGUGACCCCUACAUUGAAGGCAGGAAUUUCCCUUAAAUUACCUCUGUCCGCCCCUGAUUAGAGAAUAAAGGUAAAGGGACCCUUGACCAUUAGGUCAAGUCGUGGACAACUCUGGGGUUGUGGCGCUCAUCUCACUUUACUGGCCAAGGGAGCCGGCAUACAGCUUCUGGGUCAUGUAGCCAGCAUGACUAAGCCCCUACUGGCGAACCAGAGCAGUGCACGGAAAUGCUGUUUACCUUCCCGCCGGAGCGGUACCUAUUUAUCUAUUUGCGCUGUGAUGUGCUUUCGAACAGCUAGGUUGGCAGGAGCAGGGACUGAGCAACGGGAGCUCACCCCGUUGCGGGGAUUUGAACCGCCAACCUUCUGAUCAGCAAGCCCUAGGCUCUGUGGUUUAGACCACAGACCACCUGCAUCCAGAUUAAAAGAAUAGGUUGUACUUAAACUGGUAAUGAACUGAGCAUAGCCCAUAAUCUUAAGAGGAAAAGAAAUACAACACAAGCACUGGAGAGCACCAUCACACAUUGGACGAGCUAUAGGUUAAUAGGGCUAUCCCUUGCCAAGUGAGGAUUGGCUUUACUGGGACCCAGUAUCAGGAAUUACUGGCUACUGGGACAAAAUACCUCCUGAGAUAUGUGCAAACCCAGUACCCACCUACACGCAAUGUCUGGCCUCUGUAAUUGCCACCAAGGGUUUUGCCACCAAGUACUAAGUCAUCUUUUGCAAAGGGAUCAAAUACUUAUUUCACUCAUUAUAAUGCACAUCAAUCUCUGACUUUUGUCUUCUGGGUUUCUGGGGGUUUUCCUGCUGUUAUUCUGUCUCUCACAGCUACAGUAAACCUACCAUUAAAAUUAUGGACUGGUCAUUUCUUUCUCAGAGGGCAAACGGGCAAAUUUAGCAGGAGAUCAAAUACUUUCCCGCUCACUGUAUGGUCCUGACAUGUGUCUCCCAGAAGUUUGCCUAACCCUGUCCUAAACAGUGCCACAAAACUUACCUUACAUCAUAGUAGAACCGCCUCCUAACUUCUGGUACUUUUGGGGGGGCAAUGACUAGCAGUGACAGAAUACAAAGUUGCCCCUUAACACAUCAGGACCACAUGGGCAGCAAUGGAAAAUGUAGAAGGAUGCCGGAAAGAGGGAAAGAUAAAGGCCAUGCCAAAUGGCUGUGGUUUGAUGAAGGUGGCAUGUACAUCAGCUCAAAGGCUGGCCUUUAUAUGCCACACCGUUCACCUGUUCAGUGGCCCCGUGGCCUCCGUUGAGUUACCUGAGCCACAUCUCCACUGUAGGGCCUUUGCAGAGCCACUGCUUCCUUCAGCCUUUGGCCGGAAUCCUCUCCCACUAAAGCCAAGAGUUGCAAGUGACACCACUACCCUCUUUGACAUCACACAAUGACUUGCCAUUGUGUGGCAAUGAGGCUAUUGUGAUGUGGUGGCUUUGCCUGAGACACAGAGAGGGAGGGAGGAGAGCUGUGAUUGUGAGGCAACCCUUAGCUUCCCCACUCAAAGCUCACCUUUGAAAAUUCCCCCCUCUGCCUACAUUUCAGGCCAAGUCUCCUCUUCCAAUUAUCUUUCUUCCCAAAUAUUAUUUCAGCGCAUACCCCAGAUUUCAUGAUGUGACUCCAAAAGCUAUUUUCCAUCUUGCCUAUUACCUGUAACUCAUGGGUAGGCAAACCAAGGCCUUGGGGCCAGAUCCGGCCCAAUCGCCUUCAAUAUUAAUAAUAAUAAUAAUAAUAAUAAUAAUAAUAUUUUUAUACCCUGCCCAUCUGGCUGAGUUUCCCCAGCCACUCUGGGCGGCUUCCAAUCAAGUGUUAAAAACAAUACAGUAUUAAAUAUUAAAAACUUCCCUAAACAGGGCUGCCUUCAGAUGUCUUUUAAAGAUAAGAUAGCUGCUUAUUUCCUUCACAUCUGAAGGGAGGGCGUUCCACAGGGCGGGCGCCACUACUGAGAAGGCCCUCUGUCUGGUUCCCUGUAACCUCACUUCUUGCAAUGAGGGAACUGCCAGAAGGCCCUAGGCACUGGAUCUCAGGCUGAAUGAUGGGGGACCCGUGGACGGUCCGGGAAUCAGCGUGUUUUUACAUGAGUAGAAUGUAUGCUUUUAUUUAAAAUGCAUCUCUGGGUUAUCCGUGGGGCAAAGGAAUUCAUUCACCCCCCCUCCAAUUUAGUCUGCCCCCCCCCCAAGGUCUGAAGGACAGUGGACAGGUUUGUUGACCCCUGCUGUAACUUGUGUCUCUUCUAUCACAGAGUGGAACUCCCCAGUUGCGUGUGUAUGUGUGGAGCAAGGCUACCACACGAUGAAGUACUGGCCCACAGACUUGGAUGGCUUUCAAAGUGGGUUAGAAAAAUUCAUGUUGGGAAUUACCAAUGGGAAGCUGGCUUAUGUGAGAGCAGGAUGCUGCACUAGAUGGGCCAUUGGCCUGAUCCAACAGGUCUCUUCUUAGGUUGGUGGAAAUGAGGACUCCUGAGAUUGAAUUGGACUGGGAAUGCCUGAUUUCAUGUUCCUCCUUGGGGGCUUCCCAAAGGCAUCUUCUUGAUCAUUGUGAGUACUCAAAAUGUGCUUAUAAAUCUCUGAAAGUCACAAACUGUUUCAUAGAAUUCUUCUUAAAGUUAUGACCACUGCUCCAUAAAUAUUGUUGUACAAUUCCAUUCACCAUAUAGAUGGGUUUAUGAAGCAUUUCUGUAUCCUUCUGCUGUGCUGAAGAAGAAUUCUACGAAACAGUGGGUAUAUGCGG
rnacentral:lncRNA from 1 species